rnacentral:rRNA from 1 species
AUACGGAGGGUGCAAGCGUUAUCCGGAAUCAUUGGGUUUAAAGGGUCCGCAGGCGGGACUGUAAGUCAGUGGUGAAAUCCGGCAGCUCAACUGUCGCACUGCCAUUGAUACUGCAGUCCUUGAAUUCGAUUGGAGUGGGCGGAAUAUGUCAUGUAGCGGUGAAAUGCUUAGAUAUGACAUAGAACACCGAUAGCGAAGGCAGCUCACUAAGUCUGAAUUGACGCUCAUGGACGAAAGCGCGGGUAGCAAACAGGAUUAGAUACCCUGGUAGUCCGCGCCGUAAACGAUGAUUACUCGUUGUCGGCUCUUCGGAGUCGGUGACUAAGCGAAAGUGAUAAGUAAUCCACCUGGGGAGUACGAUCGCAAGGUUGAA